rnacentral:rRNA from 1 species
AUUGAACGCUGGCGGCAGGCCUAACACAUGCAAGUCGGGCGGUAGCACAGAGAGCUUGCUCCCGGGUGACGAGCGGCGGACGGGUGAGUAAUGUCUGGGAAACUGCCUGAUGGAGGGGGAUAACUACUGGAAACGGUAGCUAAUACCGCAUAACGUCGCAAGACCAAAGAGGGGGACCUUCGGGCCUCUUGCCAUCAGAUGUGCCCAGAUGGGAUUAGCUAGUAGGUGGGGUAAUGGCUCACCUAGGCGACGAUCCCUAGCUGGUCUGAGAGGAUGACCAGCCACACUGGAACUGAGACACGGUCCAGACUCCUACGGGAGGCAGCAGUGGGGAAUAUUGCACAAUGGGCGCAAGCCUGAUGCAGCCAUGCCGGGUGUAUGAAGAAGGCCUUCGGGUUGUAAAGUACUUUCAGCGAGGAGGAAGGCAUUGUGGUUAAUAACCACAGUGAUUGACGUUACUCGCAGAAGAAGCACCGGCUAACUCCGUGCCAGCCGCCGCUGUAA